rnacentral:rRNA from 1 species
GGAUAACCUGCCCUAUCGUCUGGAAUAACCUCGGGAAACUGAGAAUAAGGCCGGAUAGUUCACAAAGCCUGGAACGGUUUGUGAAUCAAGGUAGGAUGGGUCUGCGGCGUAUCAGGUAGUAGGGGGUGUAAAGGACCCCCUAGCCUUCGACGCGUACGGGUGUUGGGAGACAUAGCCUGGAGAUGGAUUCUGAGACACGAAUCCAGACCCUACGGGGUGCAGCAGGCGCGAAAACUUCACACUGCAGGAAACUGUGAUGAGGGAACUCCAAGUGUGUGCACUAUGUGUACACUUUUAUGAACUUUUAAUCGGUUCAGGAAUAAGGGCUGGGAAAGACCGGUGCCAGCCGCCGCGGUAAUACCGGCAGCUCAAGUGGUCGUCGCUUUUAUUGGGCCUAAAACGUCCGUAGCCUGUUUGGUAAAUCUGUGGGUAAAUCAACUCGCUCAACGAGUUGAAUUCUGCAGAGACUGCCAGACUAGGGACCGGGAGAGGUGUGGGGUACUCGAGGGGUAGGGGUAAAAUCCUGUCAUCCUUCGAGGACCACCAGUUGCGAAGGCGCCACACUGGAACGGAUCCGACGGUCAGGGACGAAGCCUAGGGGCACGAACCGGAUUAGAUACCCGGGUAGUCCUAGGUGUAAACGCUGUGAACUUGGUGUCGGGGGUCCGCAAGGGGUCCCCGGUGCCGGAGUGAAGAUGUUAAGUUCACUGCCUGGGGAGUACGGUCGCAAGGCUGAAACU